rnacentral:rRNA from 1 species
GAUCUGGUCAGGACGAACGCUGGCGGCGUGCCUAACACAUGCAAGUCGAGCGGAGAUUAUAGCAAUAUAAUCUUAGCGGCGGACGGGUGAGUAACGCGUGGGCAACCUGCCUUUCACAGGGGGAUAACACAGGGAAACUUGUGCUAAUACCGCAUAAGAUCAUAGGAGGACAUCCUCCAGUGACCAAAGGAGCAAUCCGGUGAGAGAUGGGCCCGCGUCCAAUUAGCUAGUUGGUGGUGUAACGGACCACCAAGGCGACGAUUGGUAGCCGAACUGAGAGGUUGAUCGGCCACAUUGGGACUGAGAUACGGCCCAGACUCCUACGGGAGGCAGCAGUGGGGAAUAUUGCGCAAUGGGGGGAACCCUGACGCAGCAACGCCGCGUGAAGGAUGAAGGUUUUCGGAUCGUAAACUUCUUUGAUGAGGGACGAAAGAAAUGACGGUACCUCAAAAACAAGCCACGGCUAACUACGUGCCAGCCGCCGC